CUGGGAUCGUCAUCCUGGCUGGUUCGCGUGACCGGGAGAUCCGAGUAGAGACAUAGCGGACUGCGCACGGAGAAGCCUUGAGGGAAUGCCGUAGGACCCGGGUUCGAUUCCCGGCAGCUCCACUU
rnacentral:tmRNA from 1 species